GUUUCUUUGAGGCAAAGAUGUAUAGAAUAGCACUGAAAGUCUGAGGUGUCAUAUUUGUUCAACCUGGUGUUAAACGUAAUUUCAAUUCUUGACCAGUGCAUGUAAAGAAAUUGAAAAUAAAACCGACUUGACUUGACUUGUCAUUGGGUCUGAUUUUAAAUGUGCCAUAUAGUUCAAUGUGGGAGCAGGUUCACUCACUAAAUAAGACACUAAGGUCAAGCACAAGCAGAUUUUUUUUUUUUUUUUAAACAAUUCUCAGAGCAGAUUAGAGCAGACGUUUCAGGUUGCUGCCAUCAGAGAGUAGUGACUUGACCUUAGUGUCUUUAGUGUGCUCCCACAUUGAAGUCUACUUUUUGGGUCCAUGCACCUACUUAUUUCUAAACAUCUAGAGCGCAACAAUACCCCUGCCUCCUGAUGUGCCAUAUAACCUGUAUCUCUCCAAGUGUGUGUGUGUGUGUGUGUGUGUGAGAGAGAGAGAAUGUGUGCACGCAGAUAUAAGAAGUUGGGGUUGAUGAUCCACAUGAUGGUGAUGGACCAGGACAGCUCUGGACCUCCUGACUGGCAGCUCCAUCCUCAACCUCUCUUCCUGCCCUUCACACAUGUGCAGGCAGCCAGUUUUCUGAAAGAUGGUUGAUGUCAGUACCAACAUGUUGUGAUGGAGGCUUCCACCUGAGCUGAACACAGAAACUUGCACACAGUGAUGGAAGCAGUCGUUCCUGUUCAGCAUCGAUAUGCCAGUAAUGGGUUUGAUGAGCCACAGCAUGGUGAUGGGCAAUCAGCAUCAGGACCAGGGCAGCUCACAAGGAGAACCUCCUGCCCUGCCUCGUCAUCCUCAACCUCCCAUCUCCCUGCUCUUCACACAUGUGCAGGCACGGAGCCAGUUUUCAGAGGGAGGGCUGAUGACACCAGCAACUUUGGUUCUGAACCUGAUCAACCCAGCACCAACCACUGUGCCGCUCCUCCUCUGCCAACUGCACCACAUGGCUCCACCAUCUCAAAAAGGCACAGACACUACUCCACUUCCUGCGAAGGAUGAAAGAAGAGCCGACCGCCCCACAUCGGCACUCACCACCUUCUACAGGGGUGUCAUUGAGAGCAUCCUGACCAGCAGCCUCUCUGUCUGGCAUUGCAGCCGUCAAGCUGAAGACUAGAAGGCAGUACAGAGAGUGUGGUGAGCUCGGCAGAAAAGCUCAUAAGAUCACCCCUACCAGCCAUUCAGGAUCUGUACACUUCACACUGUUCCAAGAGGGCAAUGAACAUCAUAAAGACACAACUCAUCCAGCAUACAGACUGUUCUCCCUACUACCAUCAGGGAAGCGCUAGCCCGGCAUGCGGUGCCGCACAAGCACACUGGGAAACGGCUUCUUUCCACAAGCCAUCAGUCUCCUCAACGUUCUGAAGAAAACCACAUGAAUAUUCCAAGGACACUGGAGAAUAUUCCAUGAACACUUCUUUCACCAUGCCACUUACACUUUACUCAUUGCACCUUAUAUACAGCAUCUUCACAUCACCUGUAUGAUCUCCUCCUGCCAUGUGUGUGUGUGUGUGUGUGUGUGUGUCCACUGUGUUUGUGUAUUUAUUGUCCAUCAGUAUGUUACUCUUCUUAUUGCACACUGUUUGUGUCUCUGUGUGACUGUAUUUAUUGAAUGUAUCAGUCUGUAUUUCAUGUCAAUGCAUUAUUUUUAGUUAUUAGUUAAACUGCACAUUGGAGACUGGUCAAACACAAUUUCAAACUUUGUGUUAACCCUCCAUAGAUUUUUGUCAAAAAAUGGAGUCUAAUCUACUGUACUAUUCAGGCUAUCAACAGACCACACAGUUGAGUGCUGUUUUAUGCACUCUGAAUAUGAGGAGAAGGAGGUGACCGUUCACACUUCAUAGUGUAAAAGUAAACAGAAAUAAAUUUUCACAUUUCA